rfam:Vigna angularis cultivar Jingnong 6 scaffold36_108, whole genome shotgun sequence.
AUACCUUUCUCGGCCUUUUGGCUAAGAUCAAGUGUAGUAUCUGUUCUUAUCAGUUUAAUAUCUGAUAUGUGGUCCAUUGGUUCACACGAUAUUAAAUUUAUUUUUUAAGGGAUGGAGUCAAUUGCAGUGGCUUGCUACUGAGAUUCCCCAGCAUCGCUCUUGCUUUGCACUAUUGCAAGGGCUGGGUGCAUCCCAC